UGCUUAUAAAUGUAAUUGUGUCUGCACACGGCUCCUGGAUCUCGUGACAGGUCCCGGCUGGUAAAACUUUGCCUCGUCUACAGAAUUGAUUAGUUCAUCAUUGCAUCUUUUACUUACACGUGUGUUACCACCCACCUCCCCCGCUUCCCGUGUUCAUAAGUCAGGAGGACGUCCCGUGAUACACACAUACACAAAAUCAAUUUGUUAUCAUGCUUCUUGAAUUGCGCUAGUGUUUUAGUUUUAACCUUGUAUGCCACCUAGAGUCACUUCAGUGAGCUGAGUGGCUAUAUAAAUUGUUUUUUAAAACCAAUAAACACUUGACAGUUUGUAUACGAGUAUCUUAUGUCCUUGACAUCAUCAGUCUUGUACUGGAAAGGGAGGGAGGGGGUUGAAGGUGAAAUUUGGAACUUUAAACCUUUUAAAAUAAAGUCACUGUGCAAAAUUCUGGCAUACUUCUUGGUUUUUUUUAUAAGCAAUCCAAAAUGAGAGUCUCUGAAAUUUCCAGGGAUUUCAAAUUAUCUUGGGCUUGUUAUAGCUGCAAUAACUUAUUGUUUCUAUGUUUUUCACCUUUUUUUAAUAAUCCAUACAGGAAGAGAAAUGUUUCAUUCUCUGUAAAUGUAAAUACUUAACAAUCUUCUUAUCCUACCUAACUCUAUUCUGUCCCAUUCCAUCCAAAGACAGAAGGAUCUGUAUUUGAACCCAUGCAAGACAUAGUUUUUGUUUGUGUAUCAAGACUCUCAAAUUAGUCCUAAUGUCUAUCGAUGAUAAGCACUUGGUACCCUCUUUUUUUAACAGGUGAAUUUUAAAUUAUAAAUCAAACUUAGGAGUUUGUACCUUCUGGUGACAGUAAGAUGUAAUUUGGGAGGAUUUGCAGAGGACAAUUGGUGGGAAUGUUUAAGUUGAUAUACUGUCCCAGUUGGAUUUCCAACAUAACUUAAAAGCAAAUUGGAUAUGGUGAAAAGGCUUUUGUAGGAAGCAAGCUGUGUUUGGUGUUCUCAUGUAAGUGUCUUAGGGAUUAGGGAAUGGAACCACAAGGUGAAAUACCACAGUAAUUUGUGUUUGACUUCCAGACAUCCACAUACAUCAGGGAUCCCCUGCAACUUUAAUUAGAACCUUGUUCUCACAACUUCUCAUUUUUAAUGAGGGCCUUUCUGAUAAGCACAGCAAUAUAUUACUGAUGAAGCACCACCCUCCUAUUGUGACACUGCAGGGUUUCACACUAUCAUUGAGGAAUUUUAAAGCUCAUAAUAAUAUCACAGGCAUGAUUAUAUGCUGCAUGUUCAGAAAUAAGAGCCAUUAAAUUUUCUCUAUAGUUUAUGAAAAUUUUGUUGCUUUUAAUAAAUUUAUUAUGCCCCUGUAGUUCCCAGAAUUCUUUCCAAAACUACAGUAAGCAAUAUAUGCCAUACACAUCUGAUAACCUUUACAAUAUUGUCCAACACAGUAAUUAUAAUGGUAGUGCAUAUUUGAAAAGAUUUUUUUCUUUGGACUAACAAAACUGAAUCUGCUUUUUAAAGUAACUUUUAAGUAACAACCUCACAUUUCCCAUAGGCACAUUUGAAAGGGCAUGUGAUAUUCUUUUUUUUUUCAUCACUCCUUAACUAUCUAACUUAAGAGGCUGGGAUAUGAUGGAGUAAAUUAUUCCUUUUAAAUUAUGUGUUUAUGGGCUCUCUGUUUGGGUGUGUGUGCGUAUUCUUCCACCACAACUAAAAGCAGGAUAAAAUGCAGGACAAAGAUUGCUUUUACAUUAGGAAAAACGUAUGACUUUGAUGUAUUCAGGGUCCCUCACAUAGAUGUUUUUAAUUAUUAUAAGAUUGACAAGAUUCAAGGAAAGCCAAAAUUCCAUCUAACUCAAAGACAGAAAUUGACCAGAUGUUAGAAAUGUACAAAAGCUCUCUGUACUGUGAGGAAAAGGUAUAAUUUGAGUUGAUCUUGAAAUACAAAAUUUUCCUCAAAUCCCUACUUGUCACUUCAAACCCACUAGAUCACAGGUGUCAAACAUGAUCCCAUCACGGGCUUAUCGUGACAUAUCGGGACCUUUUUUUUGCCUUUGUGGGGCUGGGGUGGGCGUGACCUACAUGGGCCACAUCCGCCCUGCGGGCUGCGUGUUUGACAUACCUGCACUAGAUGAAGUGAGCUUUAUAUGCUCUUCUUCUAAAGUCUCCUCUGGAGGUGUCCAAAAUCACAUACAGAAAUUUGGAUUAUAGCAGGGUAUCUUAGCAACCAGAGAUAUGGAAAAGUUCAAGGUAUAAAGCUGAGGUAAAGCCAUAUAACAACUGAAGGAGAUGGAACUGUGUGCCCACUUGAUCAUCCUCCACAUUCGUUUAAGUCUUGUAUGUAAUGUCCCAUGUGUGUUACAUGACUUCAGAAGUGCUGCUUUUUAUAUCUGCACAACAGGUAGAAAUGCAAGAAAAGACAAUUUCCUUGUAGGAAGAGUGUUACUAUCGAAUUUCAGCUUACUAGGAAGAACCUGGUUCAGGCAAUUUAAUUCAAAAAAUGUCAACAAAGUUUAAAGAAACACAGAUGGCAGUAUCAAAUACCUGUGGGGAGUUGUAACUAUUCCCAGUGCAUCCAUUUCCAUCUAUCAAUUGAACUGUUGCUAAUACAAUAAACUUCUAUCAUACAGCUUUUAAAGACAUAGAAGAGCUUCUGGAGAGGAAAAAAAAGGAACAUUACUAUUCCACUAGAAGAAAAGACAUAUUGCUUAGGUUGAACUGUGUAGCCCUUGGCUUUCAGGGCUUUGGUCCCCAAGUCUCCAGUUGUGAGACCAUGUUUCUGAAGCUGCGUUCAUUAGAUUAGUUGGGAUUGUUGCUAAUGUAUCAACAUCCCUGCUGCAUGGCAACCUCCCUGCCUGAGCUGCUGCAGGCCAUUUCAGGGUUGGCAGUGAAUGUUUAUGAAGAUUCUCAGCCAUCCAGGUCAUAGUUAUCCCUUUUAUACAAGGCAACUGGUUGUUUUUUCUUAAAGAUAUUUUGCUUCUCAUCCAAGAAACGUCUUCAGCUCUGAAGAGGCUUCUUGGAUGAGAAGCAAAACAUCUUCAAAGAAAAACAAGAAAGUCCAGUUGCCUUGUAAAAAAGCACCUUUGGGUUGGCAGUGAAAUUCCCCAGGCUUAUGGUCCUGGGAGACUUCAACCUGCCAUGGGCCUAUGGCCCAGAUUAUCUUAAGCCUGACUCAGGACAGCGGUCACCCAGCAGAUAUAAUAUUCUUGUUAAAGUGAUGGCAAUGUGAUCUGGUGGGGGAUCUAACAUUAUCCCCCCUGCAAUGUGCUCUACAUGGGCUUAACCUUGAAGAGUAUUUGGAAGCUUCAACUGGUGCAGAAUGCAUCUGCGCAGGCAGUUCUUGGGAUCCCUAGGUGACCUAUGUUACAUCAUUGUUCUGUGAGCUGUACUAUCUGCCAGCUUGCUUCCAGGUCCACUUCAAGAUGUUGGUUAUUACUGAUGAAACCUUCCACACCAUGGCUAUCUGAGAAACCAGCUCACCUUGAUGGGAUUAGCCACUUCACCCACAUUGGCAGAAGGGGGAUUCUGUGGACCCCAUUGGCAGCACUUUAAAGAAGCUCCACUUUUUUCUUGAUUUUGAAGGAAUGGUUACUUUGAGGCACCUGCUUAUCUUUUUUUCCUUUGGCUGCUCCUCCUGGACUGACAUACCGUCUCCUGGUCCCUUUGCUCCCACAUCGACCUGCUUGCUUGCUGCCUGCCUUUAAUACUCUCCCACUUGGUCUUCUCUAGUCACUGCAGCAACAAUAUCCAGAGGAGAUUCGUUCAAGACUAAGGAUUAUUCUUAAGAUGCAAAUGAAGAAAACAUGUCAUUAAUGGUUCAUUAGACAUUCCAUAAUAUUUAAGUUGACAGUUGUCAAUAUUUUAACAUGCAGAAGUGCUAUGAUUGCUCUCUUUCCCCUUCUAGCUGACAUGCUACAUAAAAAAAAAAAAAACAGUUGUGUGAUUGCUUCACAUUUUCAGGGCAAAAUCAUAUGUGAAUAAAUGUUGAAUAUUUUGGCUGCUUGUUUUUAGGAUUAUAAAUUAAAAUGUUCAAAGGCUUUUCCCUCAUGUACAGAGUAUGCUUUCAUGAAUGAACUAUUAAAAAUUGGACAGCAUUUUGCACUUAGCAGACAUAUUUGUCUAACCACACUAUGGAUUUAUAAACUGAGACAUGUACAGUCUCUUCUGUCCUCCUUAAUUUUAUCAUAAUUUUGCAUUACAUCUGAAAAGAAAUUAUGCUUACCAGCUUUGGAACAGGUUUUGUCUUGAAAAACCAUAUUAUACAAUGGAUUUAAGAUUCAGAAUUGUUCUAAAGCUGACAAUCGGAGAUCCCUAAUUUGGACUAAAAAAGUAACCGUGGCAAAUUGGAGAUUUCCAGGUUCCCAAGGAAGGGAGGAGAGGAAAAGAUCCAGAUGAACAUCUAUCUGGCAUUAUCAUCUGCGAGUUUAUACAUUUUGUCUCAGUCUUCACUUUCCAAGACAAAAUUGCUAAGACUGAUGGGACUUCUUUUUAUUUUCCUAGCUGGUUUCCUCCAUAUACUAGUUUUUGCAUGUGGUGAGUUUAGUGGUAUUUGGUUGUAGGGAGAACCUUUAAGAUUAUAGAUAGGUAUAUCAUAUCUGAUUGCUCCAGAAUGAUAAUCCUGAUGACACAAUCAUGGCAAUUACCCCUUUUCAUUAAGGAGAUGAUAAAAACACUUUGAUUCAAUGUAGAAAUUUUAGGAUCAUUAUUAUUUUAAUUUGAUGUAGUGUCUUGCCAGGAAUCUGGGCACUGUAUUUUGUACCAGCUGUAGCUUCUAAUUGUCUCCAAAGGUUACUCCUUGCAAGUACAUUGCAAUACUCCAGCUGAAUUGUGGUCCAGGUACAUAUUACUAUUGCAGCGGAUAUUGGUUCAGAUAGCCAAUCCUGAUUUCCAUCUGCUGUUUAAGCAGGAACUUUCAGACCUGCUUCUGAACAGAACUUUCAGGAAAAAUCUUAUCAACUCCUUCAGGAGGGAACAUAGUUUCUGUUGUGUCCUGAGCCUGGGAGGAAUGCCCGGGACAUUGCAUUGGUCCCGGGCAUUCCAAAAGCUGCCCGGGACUAGACAGAGCGGCACCAGCCUUGU